rnacentral:rRNA from 1 species
GACGAACGCUGGCGGCGUGCUUAACACAUGCAAGUCGAACGGUGAAGCGCCUUCCUUUUUGGUGGGUGUGGAUGAGUGGCGAACGGGUGAGUAACACGUGAGUAACCUGCCCCCUUCUUCUGGAUAACCGCAUGAAAGUGUGGCUAAUACGGGAUAUUCUGGGUCUGUCGCAUGAUGGGUCUGGGAAAGAUAUUGUUUCGGUGGGGGAUGGGCUCGCGGCCUAUCAGCUUGUUGGUGGGGUGAUGGCCUACCAAGGCGGUGACGGGUAGCCGGCCUGAGAGGGUGGACGGUCACACUGGGAAUGAGACACGGACCAGACUCCUACGGGAGGCAGCAGUGGGGAGUAUUGCACAAUGGGCGCAAGCCUGAUGCAGCGACGCCGCGUGAGGGAUGGAGGCCUUCGGGUUGUGAACCUCUUUCGCCAGUGAAGCAGGCCUGCCUCGUUUGUGGGUGGGUUGACGGUAGCUGGAUAAGAAGCGCCGGCUAACUACGUG